AAAUGUUGAAAUCUUCAAUUUCACAAAAUUUUUCUAUAUAUGUGAUUUGAAAGUGAGACAGAGUAGAAAACCUAAAAAGAACUAGCUUGCAAGAUAGAUACAUCUGCCUUAGGCAGAAAUAUUAAGCCCCUAAAGAAUAUAUGAGUAAGAACAGAGACUUAAAUUGCAUUACUUUUGCUAGGUGGAGCCUUACAGCUGCCCCUGAAAAGCACUUGCUGCCUUCCAUCAAGAGGCAGAACAGAGAGAGAGAGAGAAUUUGGCUCUGUCGUAGUAAUGCAGGGUGAGGGAUGCAGGACAGAGGAGUGUGGCAGAAGCACUAGGAUGAUAAUUUUUGCACAGCUAGAAAUGCAGUGAGUAACCUAGUCUGUAAUUUAUACAAUUUGUGUCUUCUCCUUCUGUCAUUGGUUCUUUUUCUUUACAUCUCACCUUAAAGAUACUGUCUUUUGUAUAUAACCUGGGAUGCCACCAGCAUCCAGAAAAGCUGUGAUAUGGUCUGUACUUAAACAAGAAAAUGUCUUCAAAGCAGAAUGGGAAGUGAUGGACAGUUCAGAUUCUCAAAGAGACAAGACUUGCUUGGAUUUGUUCUACUUCACUUUUCUCUUCGUUGUCUGCAGAAAGAUCCUAGUGUGACUUGGAUGCUUGGAUGUAAAUGAAUAUCUUGCAGCAGUUACACAAAACUGAUGCGGUAACAACAACCCAGAGCCUGCUCUGCCAACAGCCCAUCUCCUUCUCCAAAGCUUCACCACCCAUGUGGGCCCUGACCUUUGACGUCUGCAGAUGGACCUCGCGCUCCUCAGCUCACACCUGUUGGUAGCCAGAGCCAACAAGAGUCAGGAGCAGCACCAGAAGAUCUCUUGGGAUGAGGAUGAUAUGGUGUUCCUUCUAAAAUCCUACCAGCUUUACAACUGUAGUAGCUCCAUGAUCAAGAAGAGCAGCUUGGAAAAUCUCUCCUCCAGAACAUACUUAUGAUUAGUAUCUGCAUUUUGCAUUGCCAGGUCUCCCAGCUUAUGCCACCAACUGGCUACAGCCACCCAAAGGGCAGAGAUUGGAGGAGGCACUGUGGUGAAUUUUUAAUUUGUUGUGGAUGCAGAAGACAAGAGUUGGAACUGCUGUUCUGGAGAAGAUCUGUUAGCCAGAGCCCAACUAGGAACCAGGGAAUUGGCUGAUGUAGUCACCAAGCCACUCCUGAUGAAAUUUGAAAAGUCGUGGUGGUCAGGUGAAGUCUCUGGUAACUGGAAAAAAAGGCAAUAUCACACUCAUUUUUAAGAAAGUGGUGACUCAAAUGGAGUCAUGGCAGUAGCAGAAGCUACUGAAUUUUGGUAUAGAAUGCGAGAGGCUCUCUACGGUGUCAGUAACAGCAGUCUGAGUGAUUGCUGCUGGCAGUCUGGAUGAAAAGCUCUUCUACAGCGCUCCAAGCCAGUUCUCCAGCUGACACAGUUCAUCCGAUCUUCCUAGAACAGGGGCUAGUGCUGGGGAACGAGUGAGUUCCUGUUCCUGGAGCCAUAACAGAAGUUUGAGUGCUGCAGCUAAACUGAACAGUACACAAUCAACCUGAAUAUAUCUGUCCUAAAAAGAAAAUGGCUCGGUGAAUCUUCAGCUCUAACGGGAAAGAUAUGAAGAAGAAAAUGCCUGUUCUGGCUUCAAAAACUCUCUCUCAUCUCUGCUUGACAGAUGCAGUCAUGUCUGUGGGCUGAGCUCAACAAGAGAGCAUUUCAAUUGCAUGCAGUAAUAUUUCCCCUAACAGCUUAUUCACUUAGAGCAGCUCCCAUGAUGUGCAACUCCAUCCAUAGUAUAUUCAUUUAGUUUUCAAAUGUAACAGAACUUGCUUUACAUUUGCAUGCAUUUGAAUUUCAAUGUUGACAUGAAAAAUACUGGAACUAGUUAUAAAAGAACAGACGUAUUUGCCCACUUACCUUUUUUAUGACUAAGAAAUCCCAUUGAGAAACUGCAGUGAUUGGCAGCUUCUGAUAGUUACUUAAAAAGAGAUUAAGGUACUUCGGCUGGGGCCAACUUAUAGCCUUCUGCAGGCAAUCAAAAUUCCCAUGAAAUCAUUAAGACCAGUAAAGAGGCUUACUUCCCUCCCAUUUACCUCAAAAUCUACAGUUCCCAGCUGUAUCUUUACAACUCUCACAAACUAUUCUCAGCAAAAUGGGCACUUCCCUGUGCUCCUCAGAUGCUUUCUGACAGGUGCAUUAAAUACCGAUUCUCACUUCCGUAGACCAGGCACUAAAAAUGGAUCUCUGUCUGUAGAGGGAGAAUAUUGGUGAGAAACUGGAGAGUUGUCAAACUCAUACAGGAACAGUCAACAUGUUAUGCACCAUGCAAAGGUGUAUAUGAAAACUGUAUAUGUAAAGUUGGAACACAUUGUCCAGAGGGAUUCCAUAAUGUUCAUCUUCAGAGGUUUAUAGACUUGCUUAGAUAAAGCCUUCAGAGGUCUGACCUUGUUUUCAGCAUGUGUUGUGUUAGAGGCCUUUUGAGAUCCCUUCUGACAUAAAUGAUUGCCUAAAUGGUGCUUCAGUUGGAUAAUUUAUUACAGUGGUACGUUUUACUUUGAAAUUUCAGUGGAAAUUCUCCAUAGAUUGCCAUGUCUGCUUCUUUUUCUUUUCAAAAACUGUAGCAAUUUCUCUUACAUGAAUUACUUUUGUUUCCUUCCCCACUUGAUAUGCUUUUCAUUUAGGGUCAAAGAAACUUCUACCUUUUAUCCCAAUAUUGUGGUACUUUGUGGCAAUACAAAUUUCAGCUAGACUCUCCCAGGUACUCCUCCCUCCUCCUUCUCCUAUCACUUUAUCUCUAACAUUUUCAAAUCUUGUGACAUGAUCAAACUCAUUCAUAAAUAUACCUGGCCUCUAAAUCAGUAGAUGUCAUUGUUCACUGUAGCCUUUACACGUGAUCUGCUAGAAUCAGUGGGAGUAGCUAAAAAAAAUCUUCUUUUUUCUUUUUUCCUCCUCAAGGUUUCUUAUAGUUAUUAAUGCUGUUGUGAAAGAGCCUGCAAGACUCGUUUCUAUCUUACGCACAUGAAUCUUUCUUAUGCUAUAUUUCUGCGUUAGUGGGGCAAAAGUCUUUUCUCUGCCAUACUAUGGAGAUUGUCAUAAAAUGAUGGUGAUUUAUUUUUCAUGCUACUGCUCAUCAAGCAAACAAUCAUUUACAUGAAAAUUUACAAAUGUCUUCCAUGAAGUCACCCCAGGGCUUCACCAAAAUCACUACCAAUCAGUGACAGUAAAAUAAUAAUGUAAAUUACAUGAGGAGACUUUUCAUAUAUGUUACAAAACUUCACACAGACAGUGAAGAUGCAUGGUCUCUAGUGCUCCUCUUUUCAUUCUUGCUCCACUAUAUUACUGCCUUAAAUAAUGGAGAACCAUCACUGUAUAAGCUCUCCAGCAGGCAGCCAACAUCUGCCCAGCUAAAUAGAGCUCAAUCCAGGGACUCCUAAUCUGUUAGCUUAGAAUACAUGCUGGACAGAUGUGAUCUAGAUAGAACUUCUACAUAGAAAAUGUAUUAUAGAUAUGAAUAGUAAAUUAUGUUGGCUUAAUAAACAAUUAUUAAAAAUAUCUUUACAGAGUCAGUGAAUGGCUUUUUGUUUGCAGUGCUCACAUGGUGAAGCAAACUGGAAAUUCUGUGACUGCUUGAACAAUCUUUCAGAAAAAUAUAAUAGAUUAUUCCUGGAAAGGAUUAUUAGAGUCCACAGGACAGCCUGUCUCAGUUAUUCAGAAUGACAUUUUAGUCUCACUGAGACCAAGAGCAGAAUUUCUUGUGACUGCAAAGUUUUUUUUAAAAUAUUAGAUUUACACUUCUGCUUUUCAAUUUCCCAAGGAUCUACACACUGCUAUGUUGACCAUGCCAAAGAUAGGCUGGAAGGGAGAUGAGGACUGAGUGUAGUUGCCAAGUUUAGAUGGAUUUCAGCAUUAACAAUGCACAUCACCUUAUUAAGUUUGUGGCAAGGUUUUGCUAGCAGGGGACUGCAGGAGUGGCUUCUGUGAGCAGAACUCAGCGCUUCCCCAUGUCAGAGCACAGCAGCUGCUCCAGCAGGUACCUGCCACUGCUAGAGCUUUCAUGAGUGAUGCUGGGUCUACUCAGGGAGAGCAGAUUUAAGAAAGGGAAACACUGCUGCAUUACAGCAAGUGGGAGAGAGGAGUGAGAAAUGGGAGAGAAGCAGCCCUGGAGCCACCAAGGUCAAUGUAGGAGGGCAGGCUGUGCUCCAGGUGCAGAGCAGAAGCUCCCUAGACAGGCCUGUGGUAGACCAGACUGUCCCCCUGCAGCCCAUGGACACCAUAUGGAGCAAAUCUCUGCAUGCAACCAUGGAGGAGACCACAAGCAGUAGAAGAUGGGGGUCUGAAUGAACCACAGCCCACAGGUACCCCUCUAGGAGAAGCUCCAGAAUGGAGCAGCAGCCUGUGGAGAGCAGCCCAUAGUGGGACAGUGCAGUUCUGAAGGAUUGGCCCCACGCUAUGGAGCUGGAGCCAUGUUGGUGCUGUGCUUGAAGAGCUACAGGAAGCCCACGCAGGAUCAGUUUGGAGGGAACCCACUCUAGAAUAGAAGCAGAGAGUGACCGUGAAGGAGUGGCAGGGAUGAAGUGUUAUGGGCUGACUGCAGCCCCCACUCCCCUGCACAACUUGAGGGGAGGAGGUAGAAGAGGAUGGAUGGGGGAAGAUGUUUUUAAUGUGCUUGUAGUUUCUCACUGCUCUAGUCUGUUAUCAACUGGCAAUAAUAAUUACAUUAGUCUCCCUAUGCCAAAUCUUUUUUGACUGUGAUGACAAUUGAUGAGGAAUCUACAGGUCCUUAUCUCAACCCAUGAGCUUAUUAUUAUCAUAUUACCUCCCCGUAUCAUUUUGAAGGAGAGAGAAAGCAGCAUGGUGGAGCUUACCUAUCAGUGCUAAACCACCUCUAAUUCACAUACAGAUACAUGAGAAAGGGAAGGUAAUGCCAUGCAGGACACACACAAAAAAAGUGGAUGUAACUCAGUCCUGAGCAAGAUUGCAACUUGAAUGCAUGCUCUCAUUCCAAACUUGUUUUAGACUCUAAGAAAGGUCCAUAAUAUUGAAGAGAGUUUAAAUCUUGGAGGCUGAUUUCCUGGUUCCCAGGGCUUUCUUUUUGGUGAACUACAUAGCCUCUUAUCCCAAAACUCUACAGCAGGGGGGUGGAAAUAAACCAAGCUAGAAUAUGAAAAUAAUACUUUUUGCUAUAUAAAAAGACAAACAAAUUCAUAAAGGGAUAAAGUUCUUUAUCUUAGAAUUCAGAUUUGAAGCAAUCUAUCUCACGCACGGCUGGAAAGGGUACUUGGCAACUCAGCAUUAUAUAGGAGAAUGCAAACUGAUAUGGAUGUAAUGCUAUAACUUGAAGGACAGUGCAACAAUAAUUACAGCUGAACAAUCCUAGGCUACAGCAAAUGAGAACAAGCCCAAAUACAUCAGCCAUAGACACACAAAUAGAUGAAGAAAACCACUUACCUUUAGAAGACCUCCAGUAGACAAGGAUCCCCAGUAAAAUGUACUUAUCUCCACUGCCAACACUUAAAUGAGGUCUGGAAAGGGGAGGAUCCUGGCUCCACCCCUUCCCUUCACUCAGAUUCAUUGCACGCACCUGCCUUCUUACCAGGUGCUCAAUCACUGGCUCAGGGUUAGCAUUUCUGCUACGUAUGAUCAAAAAAUGUAUGGAUAAUUCUUAAUAUAAACAUAGUCUGCAUACCAAGAUAAAUCGUUUUUUACCCUACCUACUCUUCUCCAUAGGAGUCCUGGGCUGCAUCUGCUUGUUCAGCUUUCUUUGGGCUUGAGGCUACUUGUUUUGCUGCAAAUUAUACCACCUUAUUUUUCAGCUCUACUUGUAUGAUCGAGAAAGGUUAAUGAUCUGACUAAAUUUGGGCAUAUUAAAAAAUGUCUUAAAGUGUGCUUCUUGCUAUCAUUUUCAUGUCUCUGCUCUAAAACACAGAUAGUUAUAAAGAAUAGUUGUCACAUUUCGUAAUUUACUUUUGAAAGAAACUAAUUUCAAUUCUCUUUCCAUUUAGAAAAAGAGAACAUCUUCAGGUGAAAAUUUUGAGACAAAAAGUUCACACUCAGGACAAACCCUGCUUAGUUCAUAGUGGGACAAAAUAAUUAGGAAGCAUAGAUCAUGGUAACCUAGGGGAAUCUCAGUGGCGUACCAUAUAUUUUCAUGAUUUGGAGCGUUUGACACCUUAAUUUCAUUUGAAGUAACUCCAUAACCAUGUUAACUCAGGACUGUAGAAUCAAAAAUGUUGCCAUCUGGCAAGCUUCCUGCUCAUAGUAAAACUACUGCCAACAGAGGAGCAAGUUUGCCAGGGCUUUGAGUCUUGAAGACCUCCAAGGAUAGAGACACAUGACCUGUCUGAAGUACCUGUUCAAAUCGUGAACUAUUCCAUUAGGAAAAGAAAGAUUUUCCUUAGGUCCUUAGCUAUUAGUUUGCAGUAAAUGUGGUGAGGAUAUAGUGCCCAUGCAGGGAGUCUCUGCACCCUUGGUUGUAGAACUUCACAUUCUGUGUUCAGUAUCAGAAAAUUUCUGUUGUUUCGGUCUUUAGACUUAUCAAGGUCCACCUGGACUGAAACUCUGCUGUUUAUUGUGUCACCUCUAAUUUGUUAUCCACACAUUUGCUGAACAUGUAUUUCAUGUCACUUAUGUUACUUAUAAUGAACAUAAAUGCUUUGCUGGUAUUAACGCUUGCUUUAUUGGUGUAAUGGAACGUACAUUUCAAUCUGUAAGUUUUGUAACAAAUUCAUAUUUUGAAUUCUGGAAGGUGAAUCUGUAACAUGCUAUGCAGCUUUUGCAAGCAAGGCAAAUAAAGAAACAAAACAAAUGCUUUUGUCUAUGUUCUGCUGUGUAAAAAUACCAAGUCAUUCAGAGUUCAACCAAGUAUUUCUUUGCUACAAGCAGACUUUAGUAUCUACAGAAUAUGUAAUUGAUUCUUCUUAGUGAUAGGGACAAGAAUUGAAGAC
ensembl:lncRNA